rnacentral:tRNA from 1 species
GGAAGAGUGCCGGAGUGGUUUAACGGAGCGGCUUGGAAAGCCGUGGCUCGAAAGGGUCCCGUGGGUUCGAAUCCCACCUCUUCCG